rnacentral:tRNA from 1 species
GGAAGGGUGGCUGAGUGGUUGAAAGCGCAUGCCUGGAAAGCAUGUAUGUACUUCGUGUGCAUCGCGGGUUCGAAUCCCGUCCCUUCCUCCA